rnacentral:rRNA from 1 species
AUUCUAUAUUAAAGAUAUAUUUGAAGAAUACUUUUUUCAAAUAAUAGUAAUUUUUUUGAAUAAUCUCAUUAUAGGUUUUGUCAAAUCUCAAAGCUCAAUUCUGGACAUGUAGUGGAAACUAACAAGCUGGAGUAUGGUAGGGGCAGAGGGAAUUUCCAGUGGAGCGGUGAAAUGAGUAGAGAUUGGAAAGAACACUAACGGUGAAACCACUCUGCUCGGCCGACACUGACACUAAGAGACGAAAGCUAGGGGAGCAAAUGGGAUUAUAUGCCCCAGUAGUCCUAGCCGUAAACAAUGGAUACUAGGCGCUGUGCAUGUCGACCCGUGUAGUGCUGCAGCUAACACAUUAAUUAUCCCACCUGGGGAGUACGCUCAGAAGAAUGAAACUCAAAGGAAUUGACAGGGGCCCGUAAAGCGGUAGAGCAUGUGGUUUAAUUCAAUGCAAAGUGAAGAACUUUAUUAGGGCUUGACAUGUCACGAAUCCUCUUGAAAGAGAGGGGUGCCUUCGGGAACGCAGACACAGGUGGUGCAUGGUUGCCGUCAGCUCGUGAAGUAAGGUGUUGAGUUAAGUCCCGUAAUGAGCGCAACCCUCGUGUUUAGUUGCCACCGUUGAGUUUGAAACCUUGAGCAAAUUGUCGGUGAUAAGCCGAAGGAAGGUGAGGAUGACAUCAAGUCAUCAUGCCCCUUAUGCAUUGGGCAACACACGUGCUGCAAUGGACAGGACAAAGAGUCGCGAUCUCCCGAGGGUGAGCUAACUCCAAAAAACACAUUUGAACCUCUGUCCUCUUAUAUUGGCAACAAUGCCUAUGUCAAUUAAGCUAAGACUCAAUCGGCUUAAUUUAAAAAAAUUUA